UACGGGGGGGGCAAGCGUUGUUCGGAAUUACUGGGCGUAAAGGGCCAGUAGGCGGCCAACUAAGUCGGAUGUGAAAUCCCCAGGCUCAACUUGGGAACUGCAUCCGAUACUGGAUGGCUUGAAUUCGGGAGAGGGAUGCAGAAUUCCAGGUGUAGCGGUGAAAUGCGUAGAUAUCUGGAGGAAUACCGGUGGCGAAGGCGGCAUCCUGGACCGACAUUGACGCUGAACGGCGAAAGCUAGGGGAGCGAAACGGG
rnacentral:rRNA from 1 species